AUUGAACGCUGGCGGCAUGCUUUACACAUGCAAGUCGAACGGCAGCGCGGGCUUCGGCCUGGCGGCGAGUGGCGAACGGGUGAGUAAUACAUCGGAACGUGCCCAGUCGUGGGGGAUAGCUCGGCGAAAGCCGGAUUAAUACCGCAUACGACCUGAGGGUGAAAGCGGGGGAUCUUCGGACCUCGCGCUAUUGGAGCGGCCGAUGGCAGAUUAGCUAGUUGGUAGGGUAAAGGCCUACCAAGGCGACGAUCUGUAGCUGGUCUGAGAGGACGACCAGCCACACUGGGACUGAGACACGGCCCAGACUCCUACGGGAGGCAGCAGUGGGGAAUUUUGGACAAUGGGCGAAAGCCUGAUCCAGCAAUGCCGCGUGUGUGAUGAAGGCCUUCGGGUUGUAAAGCACUUUUGGCGGGAACGAAAAGGACUGUGCCAAUACCACGGUUCGAUGACGGUACCCGCAGAAUAAGCACCGGCUAACUACGUG
rnacentral:rRNA from 1 species